rnacentral:lncRNA from 1 species
ACGGAUUUGGGGCUUCACUAUUUCGCACAUCAGCAUCCAUGCUACUAUCCUAAAAUGAUAUUCGUCUUAGCCAUGGUUUGACAGCUGUUAUAAUGUUAUAACAGCCUGUUAUAACACAAAUAAGGGCAAUAAUUUGGCAUUUCCAUUGUUCCCAUCAUAAAAUAACAUUUCUUUCUAAAAUUAAAUCUUUUACCAAUUCUUUUUUUUCCAAAAAAAGGUUCAUACGACCUGAAAAGUAUUUUUUUUAAUAACAAAACUGUGAACUAGGAAAUAAUGUUGUUAUUUUUCUACAAUAUUAUGAAAAAUCUUUCUCAGCUCACUCCAAUACUCUGAAAGAUCCAUGUACAAAUUCCACUCUAAAAGCCAUGUACAAAUUUCACUAUAAUAAUUAGCAGCAAGACUAAAAGGCUAUCACAUCUACACCCAUAUCAAGUUUGAACUUCCAAAUCAUUUAAACAACAUCUGAACAAAUAAACACAAUACCGUAUAACCUACUAAUAUGGUAUACCAUGGUUAACCUUCCUACACUAACCUUAGGUCAAACCUUUCUUAUCAUGAUUAGAGAUUCUUCUGUACUCAUCGAAUACCAAACCUAAUAGAUACAUUUUAUUACAAUGCCUAGUAAACUUACACAUAAGCACUGAAUUUAUUUCUACUACUUUUGUUAUGUCCCAAGUGAUCAUAACCUCAAGAUUUGAUACAUUUCUAUCACAAUCCCCAGUGAUCUUUAAACCUAUGCUCUGAUAACAUUUCUAUCAUAAUCCCCAAUGAUCCUAAACCUAAGCUUUGAUACCAUAUUUGUCAUGCCUUAGAUCCGGAGCAUGACACGACCGUGCUACCAUUGUCACGCCCCCGCCUCUGCGAGGCACGUGAGGCACCUAGUGCCCACAUGGGGGCCACAUGAGGGGGGACCGCGGGGCUCCCCUGCCAGAUAUUGUCCGGUUCUGGGGCUUC